UACAUUGUGGUGUAAGUGCACAUAAAUUUUUGGAUUUUAGGGAAAAAGAUCUAAUCUUUUUUUUGUAA
rnacentral:tRNA from 1 species